UACGAAGGGGGCUAGCGUUGCUCGGAAUCACUGGGCGUAAAGGGUGCGUAGGCGGGUUCUUAAGUCAGAGGUGAAAUCCUGGAGCUCAACUCCAGAACUGCCUUUGAUACUGAGAGUCUUGAGUUCGGGAGAGGUGAGUGGAACUGCGAGUGUAGAGGUGAAAUUCGUAGAUAUUCGCAAGAACACCAGUGGCGAAGGCGGCUCACUGGCCCGAUACUGACGCUGAGGCGCGAAAGCGUGGGGAGCAAACAGG
rnacentral:rRNA from 1 species